rfam:Clostridium sp. CAG:230 genomic scaffold, scf221
UGAUAGCUAUGAAGCGUGAGGUUGCUACAGAGAAAUCUGUAGGUUUUCCGUGGAGCGAAUGUCAAGUUAGGAAACUGGCGACAA